rnacentral:rRNA from 1 species
UACGAAGGGGGCUAGCGUUGCUCGGAAUCACUGGGCGUAAAGCGCACGUAGGCGGAUUGCUAAGUCAGGGGUGAAAUCCUGGAGCUCAACUCCAGAACUGCCCUUGAUACUGGCGGUCUCGAGUCCGGGAAGAGGUGAGUGGAACUGCGAGUGUAGAGGUGAAAUUCGUAGAUAUUCGCAAGAACACCAGUGGCGAAGGCGGCUCACUGGCCCGGUACUGACGCUGAGGUGCGAAAGCGUGGGGAGCAAACAGG